rnacentral:ncRNA from 1 species
AUGGGAAUGAAGUUCUCCCACGGCGAUAGAACAGCCGAAACCGCAAUCUGCUGAUGACUUCUACAAU